rnacentral:tRNA from 1 species
GGGGCCUUAGCUUAGCUGGUAGAGCACCUGGCUCAUAACCGGGAAGUCCAGGGUUCGAGUCCCUGAGGUCCCA